rnacentral:lncRNA from 10 species
GAAGACUUUUAAAAUAGAGACCAACGUGGCCGGGCAGGAAGAGCAGGGUCCCGCCUUCAGGUGUUUGGGACUCAGCUGAGGGUGUGGGUGCCCCGCGGUGGGGGCUGAACCUUCCUGGGGUGUGGAGAGACGAAAGGAGCCCAGAUCCAAGUUCCCUCGUUCCCGCUUUGGCAUAAGUUGCCCUGGCGGUCUCAUGAGAGAGAGAAAGAGCUGGGACCCUCCUCGCCCCAUGUAACAUCAGACAAGGGUGUUGACUCUGCAGCACAGAACCAGUAGUUUGUGGAGAAGAAUGGAGGUGUGGUGUUGAAUCUGCUAGACAGGCUACUGAAGCAAAAGUCAAGAGAUCCAGAUUCCAUCAUGGGGACACUUUAGCUGUUGUAAAAAGGAUUGAGUUCUUGAUUGAUUCCCAGCUUGGUCAUUGGUGUAUAGCAGUGCUACUGAUUUGUUUACAUUCAUUUUGUAACCUGAGACUUUACUGAAUUCGUGUAUCAGAUCUAGGAGCCUUUUGGUUCUUCAUCGGGUAAUUGAGCUGAUAUCAGGUGUCUGAAGGAGGCAAGUUUUGAAGAUGUGGGUCAUGAUGGCUGCUGAAGCUUCCACUCCAUAUUUGAAGGUCAGCAGUUCUCAGGAAACCUCUAGCACUUCCAUCCCUGGUGGGAUGUGAUGCCUGUCUCAGUGUAACAUCAGAGAAGGGGUGUACUCUGUGCCCUAGAACUAGGAGCUAACAGAGAAAAACCAAAUGUGAUGUGGAGUCUGCUAGACAGGCUACUGGAGCAAGAGUGAAGCGAUGAAAGUCUCAUCAUUGGGACAUAUUAGGGAGGCAGCAGGUGGCUGAAAUCCUGGUGUGAUGUGGCUGGAUCAUGCAUGAUCUGAGGACUCCUGCACAGAUGCAGUGGAUCCCCAGGUUGCAAGUCAUAUAACCUGAGCAUGCCCAGAUGAACCAAGUAUGCCUGAUUGGUGAACCUGGAACUGGCCAGAACAGAAAAUGUCAACCACAUGUGGAAUCUAAGUAUUCAGAUUGAGAAAUGAGGACCAAAAUGAGAACACUGAGCUCCUCACACAGGUGACUGAACCCGUGGUUUUGGUGUCUGAGAAGAUGCAGCUUCUCCAGUCUCUGCAACUGACGGCAGGAAGAUGGGAGCACUCAGCUUCAGUGUUCAGAAGCAGAUUUAGGCCAAUUGCCAUACCUUACGUUCUGGAGGGAUCCACCCUGACCUGAGCAGAAGGCAUCACACACAUUCCCAAGCAGCAUGGUUCCCGUGAGAAACUGAAAACUAAUUUCUUGAAUCUACAAUGCGA